GUUCAUCCCCCCCCAAAAAAAAUAUAAGCCGGCUCCCCACAAAGUCUGAGGGACAGUGGACCGGCCCCCUGCUGAAAAAGUUUGCUGACCCCUGAUUUUAGGAAGGGAGCAUCAUUGUUUCAUCAUUAAAAAAUCCAGAAAUGUAUAUAAUUAUUCUAACCUCUUACCCUUGUUGAGGAUCUAGCUGUACUUUAUAACAAAUUACUGUUUUCCAGAGAUGAUUUGGAUACCCUUGCAAUGUCUGCUAUGCCUUGAGAUUGAAUAGCAUUGGACUUAAUUAUGGCUUUCAUUAUGACAAAUGGCUGAUGAGUAUGUUUCAUACUACUAAAAUCUAAGCCUUUUAAACAAAAAUGUGUGAUUGUUCCCCAAGCAUUUGUCCUGUAAUUGUUUCCUGUAUUUUUCCAAUGAUGUAAUCAACAGAGUGAUUCUGUGUGACUUCUAGGGAAAAAAAUACCAUCCUUUUAAAAUUUGUUUUUAAAGCAUCAUGAUUAACAAUGUGUUAUGUAACCAUCAGGAGGUGAUAGAUUGUUCAGUUGUAUGAAGGUCUGAAUAGAACAUUGUAUUAGAUUUCUGUGAAAUGUGCCAUUUAUGCUUUUCUCUCUUUUCUAUGCUCAACGUUAUUCUUUUCCUUUUUAAAUAGGGUAGUAAAUGACACAGUAUUUAAGUUAUCUACUUUGGAGUAAACAAUGACACCACAGCCACUGCUUCUCAAACAUGGCACGUCAAUUUCUUUUUAAACUUUAACUAGAUGCAAAAGAAAUUUAAAUCCUCUGUUUAUUGAUCCUCUCUCCAGAUUUUGCAAUCCCCACGUAAGGUAAUUUUAUAAUUUUUUGUUGUAAAACAAGCUCCAUAAAGGGGAAACCUGACAGUCGUUUUGUAUAUAUUUCAGCAGCAGCACAAUCAAACUAAAGGAGGUUCAAAGUAAUGAAAAUUUUGUCUGAUGUUUUCCAGAAAAACAAGCUCCUCUAGAGGUCUGGCCACUAAUAUAAUAGAAUGUCGUUACCUGCAAGCUGUGCCGUUUUUAGUGGUUUAUUUGUAUUCACUCAAAAAUGGGACAGCUCAUCAGCAGAAACUAGAUGAAAUGGGAACAUUCAAACAAUAUCUGCAUUGCUUAUGUCGUUCUCCCGGUUUUUACUUUUGGGUUUUAAUAUAAUGUAGAGCAGAGCAACUUCAGAAGAACAUGAGACUCCUCCAUGAAUACUGAAAAUCAUCGAUACAUUGCAUGUCUCUGAUCUUAAAGUCCUCUGUAAAAAUUUUUGAAAGGGUACAGAGUACAAUGCUCAUGUGCUGCCUGCAUCUUACUUAUGAUUUUGCCCCAUUUCAGCCAUUUCCUCAGAUCAUCUUCAUCAGUGAUAAGGGGAUGUGAGCUAACUAAGCCUGGCAGGACAGCUUAUUCUAUGGUCUUAACACCUUCAUGCAUUAAUUGGGCAUGUUGGUUAUAUGAGGCUGAUUAUCCCACACUGUGGCUGAGCAGAGACUUGAACCAGUGUUACCAGUCCAGCACACUAGGCUAGUGUGAUGUAGGUAUGUUGGGUGCCUCCAGUGUGCUUGUAUUUUACAGGAGGGGUUGAAGUACAUACCAGAACUUUAGGUUUUCCACAAUUUAAGUGAAUUAAAUAUCUCUGUUAUUCCUGAAGCAAAGCAUGGGAACCCAUCAGGGAAAGUAACAGGGAAGAGCAAUGCUGAAGAUGGAAAUUAAUGCGAAGUAGAGGGAUACUCUCCAUUUUGAUACAGCAUGAGCUGUUCUGUGCUUGGCAUAUUAUGUACAUUUAGUAUUCAGUGGCUAUCAGGAGAUAGCCACUCCAGUUCAUAAAGCAAGUUAAAUCCUGACCCCAUGUCAAAUAUCUGAAGUGAUGACCUUCAGACCAAGGAGGCUUUUAUAAUUUCAUUUCCCAUCAGUCACCCAUGCAUCUUCUUUCUGGCAGAAAUACUGUGUAAAUCAUCCUUAAGUUUGAUUAACAUGAACCUGUUGCACAAAGAGAAUUGUGCCUAGAGAGGAAGCAGAAGGACGCCAGGCAGGGAUAUCAGCUCUGGAGAACAUUGAGAUUUUGUAAAUUCAGGGAAGAGUUUCCCCAGACUUAUCUGUCAAGGCUGUAGAGUAAAGCCUCAUUAACCCAAAGCCAGUAAGAGGUGCCAGGAAAAAAUGUUCUAGCCACAACAACAGCAAGGACUGACAAUGAGUUUUAAUGAACAUAGCAAGAUUAGUUCAGUAGUAGCAUUAGAAGAAAUAUAUCCUCAUGAGUAAGUGAAAACAGAGAUGGGUUUAGAUCACAGAUCUCACUGAUAAAGGGCCCAUGUGUCUCAUAGGCAAUCAUCCUAUUGGCCAUUGUAGAAGCCAGAAGUGGUUUCACCAUUAUAGGCCUUGGGAACAAAGGCUCAAAAUGGUGCUAAAAAUCAAAAGUUAUCCAAUAACAUGCCCCUUAUAAAAUACUGAAAAUGUUUCUGUUGAAGACAACAUGAAUUUGAUGAUAUGGCACAAGUUUAGUAGCUGCUUCAACAUGUAUAGAAAUGCACUAAUAUUUGAGAUACCUAAUUAGAAGUGGGUUUGGCAAAAAGCUUUUUGUAGAAAUUGGCAAAUAUCUAACAAAGUUUUUGGGAUACUGACCGUGUCAAGUUUCUCUUUUAAGGUUAAUUAGGAUGGUCUCUCCCUUUUACCACGAAAACCUUACUGUUUUGUAGGUAAUGGCAUUCAAAAUGGAAUGAUUAAAUCUUCAUGUCAAACAAAUUGUUAUAAUUAACAUGCACUAUAAAUUGAAGCCCUUAUUUUGAACUACUGUAUUCAGAAAUUAGCAACGAGAAGCUCAGUGAAACAAAGGCAAAUUGCACUGUAAAUGAAACACCAGAUUAUAGGAGUGAUCUUUGAAAAUGAUUCUAGUUCUGGAAUUGCCAUAUGGUCAAUGACACAUUGCCAAUAUUUUAGCAAGAAGCUGUUGCAGAAAUGUUCUCCUUCCUGUGAGCUUUAAGCUCCAUGGUUUUGUUUUUGUUUUUAGAAAAGAAAGAAAUGAAGUGACUCAGAAUUGAUUUGCUGUCCACCUUUCCCCUUCAAACAAAGUGCAGUGUCACAGAAUGAAGGGGGGAGGCAUGGGGAGAGAUGGUGUACACGUUUCUGCUUUGUGUAAUUAUUAUUAUUAUUAUUUUCAUUUUUGACAUGUAUCACUUGUUUCACUGAUGCAAAACAUGCUUCAUUUGCUACGGGAGUGUGAUCUGAGAAACACGGUUCCUUUAAAAACAAAUUUCAGAUAACAUUUAUUAGUUUUCAACUAUGCCAUUGUGGCACAAUUCCCCCUCCGAGCAACUGGUGGGGUGAGGCAGAAGCCGCCAUGUUGUUUCAAGUAGGUGUGGCACUGUUGCUUACGGGGGGGAGGGAGGGGCAAUGUGAUGCAAACACACUGGCAGGUGCUCUGGAUUGGCUCAUCUCGCGACACACCCGCUGGAAGCUAGCAUAAUAGGUCCAUCCUACCCAGCAAGCUUCCACUGGAGUACACAGCUGUCAUUUCAUUUUACCCUCAAAACAAAGUCGCAGAGGUGAAUUUAGGGCAGCUCAACCAGUUCUGUCACACUGGGCUUUGAGCCUGGGGUCGCUGCAGAGCACCGCAACUAUGAUGUGUAGUGAAUUGAGCAAAAGGCAGCGGGCACUGAAUUUUGGCCUCACAAAGUCUGCCCCUGCUCUAUGGCAUAACUUAGGCUGAGAUAAAGAGUCUGAGCCAAAGUCAUCCAAGGAUCUUAAUGACCAAGGAAAACAAGAGCACCAGCAUCCCAGGUCCAAAACUAACCCUCUGUCCUCUUGUCUAGCACUUUCUUUCUUUUUUAGUGAGGUGUAAUACUCGUAUCCCUUCUCACACCCCUGCCUCUUCGUUUUCCUCUAGCACUCCUUUACACAGAUGAUAUAUAUGCAUCUACCUCUAUCUACGAAUCAUUUGAGUGCUGACUGCAUGCUGAGGCAGCAACCCAGCUGUGUCACAAUCUGCACUGAGUCAUUUGAGAAUUAACUGCAAAUGAACUAUGGAAUCUACAAAGCAGACCGAUGUGACUGCCCUCCUGGUAUUUGCAUAGGUUAAGGAGCCAGGUUUUCCCAUCCCACGCCACCCCUGAUUUGUAAGAUAUUUUAUACUGCCCAUGUACACCCCAUUGCCAGUUGCAAUGCAGCAGCAACCCCCAAAGAGCAAAUGCAUCUAAACAUAACACUGCCACUGAUGUUACUUCCCUUAUUCUCUAGUUCCCCACUAGGCUCUUGUAAUUCAUUGUCAUUUCAUUGUACUGUCUCUGCACAAGACCAAUGCUUUGUAAGGGGAGUGGGCAACUGGAACAAGACACACCUUGAUCAAGAGGUCAGUUGCGGGAUCUUUUCCCAGAAAUAACUGAAUCCUACCUUCUGCCUCUCAGUCAGAUAGACUUUUCAUAGGAUAGCUGGAAGAAGAGAGGAGAGCAGUCUGGUUUUGUCUUUGGCUCUGGUUCGCCAGAAGCAGCUUAGUCAUGCUGGCUACAUGACCUGGAAACUGAACUCUGGCUCCCUUGGCCAAUAAAGCAAAAAGAGUGCCACAACCCCAGAGAGCAAAGCACCCCUGUUAGUUGCUACUGCCUCUGGGGGUUACAUGCCUGUUGUGGACAGGGCCAGAGGCAAAAGCGAGUAGAGCACCAUAUGUUGUUGUUGUUUUUUUAAUAUUUUAUUAAGGAUUUUCUUGUUUUACAGAAGUGUAGUGCCUCAUUUUUGUUUUUGUUUUCCAUGUAACAUUUUUACAAAUCCGUUUCAUUUGUUGAGGCAUUAGGGGGAG